CCGACUGCUAUUUGGGUGAGACUAAGCCAUGCAAGUCGAAUGGGAUACCUAAACUUCCCAUGGCAAACUGCUCAGUAACACAUGAUUAACUUGCCCUAUGGAGAGAAAUAACCUCGGGAAACUGAGGAUAAUGUCUCAUAGUUGAAAAGGCUUGGAAAAGUUUUUCAAUGAAGUGAGUAGAGAAAAUGGUUUCUACAUGCCAUAGGAUAGGAUCGUGGUCGAUUAUGGUAGUUGGUGAGGUAACGGCUCACCAAGCCGAUAAUCGAUAGGGGCCGUGAGAGCGGGAGCCCCGAGAUGGGUACUGAGACAACGACCCAGGCCUUACGAGGCGCAGCAGGCGCGAAACCUCCGCAAUACACGAAAGUGUGACGGGGUUACCCAAAGUGCUCUAUUAAGAGCUGUGGUAGGUGAGUAAUGUCCCCUACUAGAAAGGAGAGGGCAAGGCUGGUGCCAGCCGCCGCGGUAAAACCAGCUCUUCAAGUGGUCGGGAUAAUUAUUGGGCUUAAAGUGUCCGUAGCCGGUUUAGUAAGUUCCUGGUAAAAUCGGGUAGCUUAACUAUCCGUGUGCUAGGAAUACUGCUAUACUAGAGGGCGGGAGAAGUCUGAGGUACUACAGGGGUAGGGGUGAAAUCUUAUAAUCCUUGUAGGACCACCAGUGGCGAAGGCGUCAGACUAGAACGCGCCUGACGGUGAGGGACGAAAGCUAGGGGAGCAAACCGGAUUAGAUACCCGGGUAGUCCUAGCCGUAAACGAUGCAUACUAGGUGAUGGCAUGGCCAUGAGCCAUGUCAGUGCCGUAGGGAAAGCGUUAAGUGUGCCGCCUGGGAAGUACGGUCGCAAGGCUAAAACUUAA
rnacentral:rRNA from 1 species